rnacentral:rRNA from 2 species
GGAUGCGAUCAUACCAGCACUAAAGCACCGGAUCCCAUCAGAACUCCGAAGUUAAGCGUGCUUGGACUAGAGUAGUACUAGGAUGGGUGACCUCCUAGGAAGUCCUCGUGUUGCAUUCC